AGUUGAUCUAAGAUGUUCCAGUGACCUAUUUUCUUCAUAACAUGGUUGACACAUUUUGCUCAUAUGAAAGUUGAGGUCAGCUUUGGGAUCAAAGACUUGGUCUCUCCCACAAUUAUAUGUGGUAGUGAUCAGACAUUUUGUCUCUUAGGAACUUGGCCAUCAUAUUUUGUAAGAGACAAUGACGUGAAUGUUGAUGUUUGUAUAUAUAUUGG
rnacentral:lncRNA from 1 species